GCAAUAUUUUCGUCGAUGUCUGUACUUUUACUCGUAAUUAAGGUGCACAUUUUUCGCAUUAUAUCAUUGUCUAUUUCAAGAAAACAGAAAAAGUAUGAUCGAAUUACAGACAUAAGUAGAGAGUUUGAGCAAGAGAACGAAGUCGGACAACGACGACGUGGUUGACAAUUUUUUCCUGUCUUGCACAUUAUCUUGCGCAUUCUGAGUUUAGGGUCAGGAGUGAAGACAGGUUAGAGAUUCAUGUCUAGCUGUUUGUGAAUGCUGACUCAAAUCCUUACCCUGAUCAGGAUAAAACAGCGAGACAUGAAUCCAUAUCCCGCCUUCGUUCUUCUGCCUUCGCCCACAACGAAUAUUUUGACAAAAUUCGUUGUGAACUUCGUUCUGCACGAAGGCAGAAGGACAAAGACGGGAUAUAGUUUCGUGUCUCGCUGUUUUUCUCUGGGUCAGGGCAAGAAUUAGGGUCAGUUUUCAUAAACAGCGACACAUGGGAAGACACGUUGAGCAACCACCAGUGACGUCCAACUCAGUAUGCGCAAGAUGAUGUGCAGACGGCAAAAAUUGUCAAGUAUGCCUUCGUCUUCGUACUUCGUUGUCUUGCUCAAACUCUCUA